rnacentral:rRNA from 1 species
GGCUCAGAGUGAACGCUGGCGGCAUGCCUAACACAUGCAAGUCGAACGAGUUUCAGCAGAGUACCGCUGAGACGAGUGGCAGACGGGUGAGUAAUACGUGAACAAUCUUCCUUCGAGAGGGGGAUAACCUUGGGAAACCAGGGCUAAUACCGCGUAAGACCACGUCCCGACAUCGGGAUGGGGCUAAAGCUCCGUAAGGGGCGCUUGAAGAGGAGUUCACGGCCUAUCAGCUUGUUGGUGAGGUAACGGCUUACCAAGGCUACGACGGGUAGGCGGUCUGAAAGGACGACCGCCCACAAUGGCACUGAGACACGGGCCAUACUCCUACGGGAGGCAGCAGUGGGGAAUUUUGCGCAAUGGGGGAAACCCUGACGCAGCGAUGCCGCGUGGAGGACGAAGGUCUUCGGAUUGUAAACUCCUUUUGCGGGGGAAAAAUCUGCAGGUGAAUAACCUGCAGUGAUGGUACUCCGCGAAUAAGCCACGGCUAACUUCGUGCCAGCAGCCGCGGUAAGACGAAGGUGGCGAGCGUUACUCGGAAUUACUAGGCGUAAAGCGUGGGUAGGUGGUUCGGCAAGUCUGUUGUGGAAGCUCCUGGCUUAACCGGGAGAGGCCAAUGGAUACUACCGAGCUUGAAUGUGGGAGAGGUCACUGGAAUUCCUGGUGUAGCGGUGAAAUGCGUAGAGAUCAGGAGGAACACCGAUGGCGAAAGCAGGUGACUGGACCACUAUUGACACUGAGCCACGAAAGCUAGGGGAGCAAACAGGAUUAGAUACCCUGGUAGUCCUAGCUGUAAACGAUGUUCACCAGAUGUGGGAGGUAUCGACCCCUCCCGUGUCGACGCUAACGCAUUAAGUGAACCGCCCGGGGAGUACGGCCGCAAGGGUG